UACAGAGGUCUCAAGCGUUGUUCGGAUUCAUUGGGCGUAAAGGUGCGUAGGCGGCGCGGUAAGUCGGGUGUGAAAUCUCGGGGCUUAACUCCGAAACUGCAUUCGAUACUGCCGUGCUUGAGGACUGGAGAGGAGACUGGAAUUUACGGUGUAGCGGUGAAAUGCGUAGAUAUCGUAAGGAAGACCAGUGGCGAAGGCGGGUCUCUGGACAGUUCCUGACGCUGAGGCACGAAGGCCAGGG
rnacentral:rRNA from 1 species